UGUAGGAGUGAGCCUGCUCGCGAUAGCGUUGUGUCAGCCAAUAUCCAAGUCACCUGACCCACCGCCAUCGCGAGCAGGCUCACUCCUACA
rnacentral:misc_RNA from 1 species